rnacentral:rRNA from 1 species
UACUGUAAUUCUUUGGGAUAGCGAACAAACAGAGGUAAGUCCUCCAUAUUUUUCAGUAAGGGAUGUCUGGAGAGCAUCAGAGAGGAGGUAAAGCUUUGUCUUAACGUGCAAAAUGAAUCUUCGAAUGAGAAGUAUUUGGGUAUGCAUUUUGAUGUUGAGAGAUAUAAUGGUACUUUCAAAUAUCUAAAAGACAAAGUGUGUGUUAAAGUCCAAGGAUGGCUUGAAAAACUCUUGUUCAUGGGAGGGAAGGGAGUCUGGAUUAAAUCAGUGGUACAGGCUAUUCUAGUGUACUCUAUGGGGUGCUUUAAGCUACCCUGA